rnacentral:rRNA from 1 species
UUAAGCGUGUAGGCUGGUUUUCCAGGCAAAUCCGGAAAAUCAAGGCUGAGGCGUGAUGACGAGGCACUACGGUGCUGAAGCAACAAAUGCCCUGCUUCCAGGAAAAGCCUCUAAGCAUCAGGUAACAUCAAAUCGUACCCCAAACCGACACAGGUGGUCAGGUAGAGAAUACCAAGGCGCUUGAGAGAACUCGGGUGAAGGAACUAGGCAAAAUGGUGCCGUAACUUCGGGAGAAGGCACGCUGAUAUGUAGGUGAAGCGACUUGCUCGUGGAGCUGAAAUCAGUCGAAGAUACCAGCUGGCUGCAACUGUUUAUUAAAAACACAGCACUGUGCAAACACGAAAGUGGACGUAUACGGUGUGACGCCUGCCCGGUGCCGGAAGGUUAAUUGAUGGGGUCAGCGCAAGCGAAGCUCUUGAUCGAAGCCCCGGUAAACGGCGGCCGUAACUAUAACGGUCCUAAGGUAGCGAAAUUCCUUGUCGGGUAAGUUCCGACCUGCACGAAUGGCGUAAUGAUGGCCAGGCUGUCUCCACCCGAGACUCAGUGAAAUUGAACUCGCUGUGAAGAUGCAGUGUACCCGCGGCAAGACGGAAAGACCCCGUGAACCUUUACUAUAGCUUGACACUGAACAUUGAGCCUUGAUGUGUAGGAUAGGUGGGAGGCUUAGAAGUGUGGACGCCAGUCUGCAUGGAGCCGACCUUGAAAUACCACCCUUUAAUGUUUGAUGUUCUAACGUUGACCCGUAAUCCGGGUUGCGGACAGUGUCUGGUGGGUAGUUUGACUGGGGCGGUCUCCUCCUAAAGAGUAACGGAGGAGCACGAAGGUUGGCUAAUCCUGGUCGGACAUCAGGAGGUUAGUGCAAUGGCAUAAGCCAGCUUGACUGCGAGCGUGACGGCGCGAGCAGGUGCGAAAGCAGGUCAUAGUGAUCCGGUGGUUCUGAAUGGAAGGGCCAUCGCUCAACGGAUAAAAGGUACUCCGGGGAUAACAGGCUGAUACCGCCCAAGAGUUCAUAUCGACGGCGGUGUUUGGCACCUCGAUGUCGGCUCAUCACAUCCUGGGGCUGAAGUAGGUCCCAAGGGUAUGGCUGUUCGCCAUUUAAAGUGGUACGCGAGCUGGGUUUAGAACGUCGUGAGACAGUUCGGUCCCUAUCUGCCGUGGGCGCUGGAGAACUGAGGGGGGCUGCUCCUAGUACGAGAGGACCGGAGUGGACGCAUCACUGGUGUUCGGGUUGUCAUGCCAAUGGCACUGCCCGGUAGCUAAAUGCGGAAGAGAUAAGUGCUGAAAGCAUCUAAGCACGAAACUUG